UAAUACGAAGGGGGCUAGCGUUGUUCGGAGUUACUGGGCGUAAAGGGCGCGUAGGCGGCCCUCCAAGUCGGGCGUGAAAGCCCACGGCUCAACCGUGGAAUUGCGCUCGAGACUGAAGGGCUCGAGGACGGGAGAGGAUGGUGGAAUUCCCAGUGUAGAGGUGAAAUUCGUAGAUAUUGGGAAGAACACCGGUGGCGAAGGCGGCCAUCUGGACCGUUUCUGACGCUGAGGCGCGAAAGCGUGGGGAGCAAACAGGAUUAGAUACCCUGGUAGUCCACGCCGUAAACGAUGAGUGCUAGACGUUGGGGGACCUAGUCCUUCGGUGUCGCAGCUAACGCAUUAAGCACUCCGCCUGGGGAGUACGGCCGCAAGGUUA
rnacentral:rRNA from 1 species